rnacentral:rRNA from 1 species
GGGGAAUUUUGGACAAUGGGCGCAAGCCUGAUCCAGCAAUGCCGCGUGCAGGAUGAAGGCCUUCGGGUUGUAAACUGCUUUUAUACGGAACGAAAAGCCUCUCUCUAAUACAGGGGGGUGAUGACGGUACCGUAAGAAUAAGCACCGGCUAACUACGUGCCAGCAGCCGCGGUAAUACGUAGGUGGCAAGCGUUGUCCGGAAUUAUUGGGCGUAAAGCGCGCGCAGGUGGUUUCUUAAGUCUGAUGUGAAAGCCCACGGCUUAACCGUGGAGGGUCAUUGGAAACUGGGAGACUUGAGUGCAGAAGAGGAAAGUGGAAUUCCAAGUGUAGCGGUGAAAUGCGUAGAGAUUUGGAGGAACACCAGUGGCGAAGGCGGUUCUCUGGACUGUAACUGACGCUGAGGCACGAAAGCGUGGGUAGCAAACA